UACGAAGGGGGCUAGCGUUGCUCGGAAUUACUGGGCGUAAAGGGCGCGUAGGCGGCACUGUUAGUCAGGCGUGAAAGUCCUGGGCUCAACCUGGGAACUGCGCUUGAUACGGCAGAGCUAGAGGACGGAAGAGGCUCGCGGAAAUCCCAGUGUAGAGGUGGAAAUUCGUAGAUAUUGGGAAAGAAUCACCGGUGGCGAAGGCGGGCG
rnacentral:rRNA from 1 species